rnacentral:lncRNA from 1 species
AAACAGAUUGAUGGAAUGCAUUACAUGAAUAAACUUCAUCUAGAGCUACCUAGUGAUCUUCAAGAAAUUAGGUGCUGACUUGGGAGCAUUUUUACUUUAAUUGACUCGUGGCAUCGAAGUCUUAACGCAGCCUCAAUGCGGAAGCAGAAGUAAUCCUGGAAAGCAUAAGGUUUCCAUUGUCUUCGCUCUUAUAUUCCUUCAAUCGUGGGCCCAUGAGGAUUUUGCAUAUUGCUUCAAUCAUGGGUCCAUGACAAUUUUGCACGAUCCCCAUGUCUCCGUCAUUAAUUCCACACCAUAGUAGACUAAAUGGUCCACAAGGCCGUUAUGAGUUACCAAUAUGUAGAAACACACUUUGAUAUGUCGUCCGUAAAUAUCUCCGGUAAUAAAGGACUGGCAUUCCCUGGAAAAAGCUGUUCUGUCACAUGACUUAUUGCACGUAGCAUGACAAAUCCGCAAAAUAAUUGCUUGUGACAGGUAGCUAUGACUGAGACUACCUCCUUACCUGCUGCACAUUGGAUCUUCUCUAGAGCCAUCACAACCUUUCUCGACC